UGAAUGCUCUUGAAUCUCUUUCACAAUCUCUCGUGUAUAUUGUGGAUCUUCUGUCUCUCUCUCGUGUAGAUUUUGGAUCCUCUUUUCUUUUUCUCUCGAGUAUCUCGUUGAUCACCUCUUGUAUUUUGGAUCCUCUCAAUUGUAUUCUGUAUUUUCACCUUUUGAAACAUUUUAUAGCAUUAAGAAACAAGAGAAAACAUAUUAGGCAGAAAAAGAGCCGUUAGAG
rnacentral:lncRNA from 1 species